GUCUAUAGCCAUGCCACCCUAAAUGUGCCCGAUCUCGUCUGAUCUCGGAAGUUAAGCAGGGUUGGGCCUGGUUAGUAUUUGGAUGAGAGACCACUUAGGAAUAUCAGGUGCUGUAGGCA
rnacentral:rRNA from 1 species